rnacentral:lncRNA from 1 species
UCCGAGGACGGUGUCGGCGUCGGCGUCGGCGUCGGGGGAGACGGAGGCGGCGGGCACGCCUUCCGGUGUCCCUUCUUCGUCGGGCUUCCUCCGAUGAUCGGAAUGGGCGGGAGGCUGACCGGCGGCAGCCCGCUGACAGGGGGUAAGGUGACGGGCGGGACGGGGAGCUUCGGGAUGGGGACCGACGGUAUACUGACAGGCGGCAGGGGCACCGACGGUAUGCUGACAGGCGGCAAGGGGACUGACGGUAUGCUGAUAGGGGGCAGGGGGACGCCGGUCGAGGGUGGCGAGCCGGACUCGCACGAGUGGCACUCCGGCUCCGCCUUCUCCCACGCGAGAGCGAGCGGGGACGAGGAGAGCGCGAGCAUGGCGAGCACCAGCA